rnacentral:rRNA from 1 species
UACGUAGGCGGAAAAUUAAGUCAGUAGUGAAAUCCUGCAGCUUAACUGUAGAACUGUUAUUGAUACUGGUUUUCUUGAAUAUAGUUGAGGCAGGCGGAAUGUGUAAUGUAGCGGUGAAAUGCUUAGAUAUUACACAGAACACCGAUUGCGAAGGCAGCUUACUAAGCUAUGAUUGACGCUGAGGUACGAAAGCGUGGGGAGCGAACAGGAUUAGAUACCCUGGUAGUCC